rnacentral:rRNA from 1 species
GAUGAACGCUGGCGGCGUGCCUAAUACAUGCAAGUCGAGCGAAUGGAUUAAGAGCUUGCUCUUAUGAAGUUAGCGGCGGACGGGUGAGUAACACGUGGGUAACCUGCCCAUAGGACUGGGAUAACUCCGGGAAACCGGGGCUAAUACCGGAUAACAUUUUGAACCGCAUGGUUCGAAAUUGAAAGGCGGCUUCGGCUGUCACUUAUGGAUGGACCCGCGUCGCAUUAGCUAGUUGGGGAGGUAACGGCUCAACAAGGCAACGAUGCGUAGCCGACCUGAGAGGGUGAACGGCCACACUGGGACUGGGAAACGGCCCAGACUCCUACGGGGGGCAGCAGUAGGGAAUCUUCCGCAAUGGACGAAAGUCUGACGGAGCAACGCCGCGUGAGUGAUGAAGGCUUUCGGGUCGUAAAACUCUGUUGUUAGGGAAGAACAAGUGCUAGUUGAAUAAGCUGGCACCUUGACGGUACCUAACCAGAAAGCCACGGCUAACUACGUGCCAGCCGCCGCAGUAA